CUGCAGCACUGAAGGAAGAAAAAAGGUAAGUUAAACAUAUGUGUAUGCACCUUUGUCAGUGUGUGUAUCUGCCAAUGUGUGGAAAUCUGUGUGUGUGUAAGUGCCAGUUUGUGUAUCUGUGUGUCAAGGUGUGUAUGUGUCACUGUGUGUGUAUACAUGUGUGUCAGUGUAUCGGUCAGUGUGUGUAUGUGCCAGCGUGUGUGUGUACCUGCCAG